rnacentral:misc_RNA from 1 species
CUUUCAAGCAGAAAAAUGAAAAGACCUUUUUUUUUAAUGCAAUUUUCCCUUGUGAAGCUCCCCUUGGUUUCUGAUUGUUGCCAAUUGUAAAGCACAUGCACAAAUAGUUUUCGUCAGUCAUCACAUAAACAGAGUGUAAAACUCCUUAGCAGACUGCACAUCAUGCUAGAGAAGAAUUCUACAGUUAUUUGAUCCAGCCAAUAUGAUUUCAAAUUCUGAACAUUUUUAAAAUUGUAGAUGGUAAGUCAUACCAUUCAGUUAAUAAAUUAUUAGUGUUCAAA